AGGACGAACGGCUGGCGGCGUGCCUAAUACAUGCAAGUCGAACGGUCUUUCUAUGGAAGCUUGCUUCCACUGAGAAGAUAGUGGCGAACGGGUGAGUAACACGUGGGUAACCUGCCCAUAAGAGGGGGAUAACAUCCGGAAACGGGUGCUAAUACCGCAUAGUUUUCUUGAUCGCAUGAUCGGGAAAGGAAAGACGGCCUUUGUGCUGUCGCUUAUGGAUGGACCCGCGGCGUAUUAGUUAGUUGGUGAGGUAACGGCUCACCAAGACGAUGAUACGUAGCCGACCUGAGAGGGUGAUCGGCCACAUUGGGACUGAGACACGGCCCAAACUCCUACGGGAGGCAGCAGUAGGGAAUCUUCCGCAAUGGACGAAAGUCUGACGGAGCAACGCCGCGUGAGUGAAGAAAAGGUUUUCGGAUCGUAAAACUCUGUUGUCAGAGAAGAACAAGUUGGAGAGUAACUGCUCCAGCCUUGACGGUAUCUGACCAGAAAGCCACGGCUAACUACGUGCCAGCAGCGGC
rnacentral:rRNA from 1 species